rnacentral:siRNA from 1 species
UGAGUCAAUUGGUUUGAUGAGUC